AAUAAGAAUACUUAUUCGUGCUGAACUUGGCCAACCCGGAUCUCUAAUUGGGGAUGACCAGAAUUAUAAUGUUAUUAUUACAGCUCACGCAUUCGUAAUAAUUUUCUUUAUAGUAAUACCUAUUAUAAUUGGUGGAUUUGGUAAUUGACUUGUUCCACUAAUAAUUGGUGCACCAGAUAUAGCAUUUCCACGAAUAAAUAAUAUAAGUUUUUGAUUACUACCACCUUCACUAACCCUUCUUCUUACAUCUUCUAUAGUAGAUAAUGGUGCUGGUGGUAGUAAUCAAAAACUUAUAUUAUUUAUUCGUGGAAAUGCUAUAUCUGGUGCACCAAUUAUUAGUGGAACAAGUCAAUUACCAAAUCCACCAAUUAUAAUAGGUAUUACUAUAAAGAAAAUUAUUACGAAUGUGUGAGCUGUAAUAAUAACAUUAUAAAUCUGGUCAUCCCCAAUUAGAGAUCCGGGUUGGCCAAGUUCAGCACGAAUAAGUAUUCUUAUUGAUGUUCCUACUAUUCCUGCUCAUGCUCCAAAUAUGAAGUAUAAAGUACCAAUGUCCUCAUGGUUUGUUGAGAAUAAUCAUUUUUGCGGUAAGAUGGCUGAAUUUUAGGUGGUAGACUGUAAAUCUACUUAUGAGAUGUUUUCUCUCUUAUCAUAUUUAGGUCUUAUAUUCAAUUAUGAUUCUAGACUGCAAUUCUAGAGGUGUAAAAUUUUACUAAGGCCUAAAAGAUUAUUCUUUUAAUUAUAACUUUGAAGGUUAUUAGUUUGAUUAACUUAAGUCCUUAGUAUAAUGAAAUUAAGGUUGAUGUUGAAAUCAAUCCUAUUGUUGAAAUUAUUACUGUUAUAGGAAGAAUGAUUCUUGAUUUUUGGGACUUUAUCUUUAUAGAUCACGAAUUUUCUGUGUAUGAUAUAAUUAGAGCUGAGAAUCUAAUACGUAUAUAGUAGUAGAGUGUAAUUGUAGUAAAUACAACUAUAAUAGUUAUAAUAGUUGUUAUAUUGUUUUCUAUUAAUGAUUGUAUUACAAUUCAUUUUGGUAAGAAUCCAAGGAAUGGUGGUAGUCCACCUAAAGAUAAUAAAGAUAAGAAUAUUAUGAAUUUAAUUUCGGUUUUUAUAUUUCUGGCUGAAUAAAUUUGAUUUAUGAAAAAUAAAUUUAUUUGCUUAAAUAAUAAAAUAUAAUUAAUCUUAAUAGUGAGUAAAUAAUGAAGUAUAGUUCUCAGAUGUUUUCUCUGACUGUUAAUGAUCUAAUUAUUCAACCUAGAUGUCUGAUUGAUGAAUAUGCUAAAAGUUGUCGUAAGGAUGUUUGAUUUAAACCUCCUAUUGCCCCAAUAAUAAUUCUUAAGAUAAUAAUUGUUCAAAUAAAAGUUCUUAAUUGAAUACAAUAAGAUAAGACCAUUAUUGGGGCGAUUUUUUGUCAUGUUAUUAAUGUUAAACAAUUAUUUCAUCUUGAUGCUCCUAUAACUUCUGGAAAUCAGAAAUGGAAAGGUGCAGCUCCAAUCUUUAAUAAUAGUCUAGAUCUAAUUAUUAUUGAUGGGAUAAAUUCUGUUUCCCAUCCCAUGGGAUAUUUUAUUUGAAUCAGCAAAAUUGAAAAUAAUAAUAUUGUCGAUGCUAUUGCUUGGACAAUAAAAUAUUUAAUUGAUGAUUCAUUUAUUAUUAUAUUUUUAUUUCUUGUUAGGAGCGGAAUAAAUGAAAGUAAGUUGAUCUCAAGUCCAAAUCAAACCCCAAAUCAGGAAUUUGAUGAAAUGGACAGGAUCGUUCCUAUCAUUAAUGUUGAUAGGAAGAGAAGUUUUGUAGAGUUGUUGGUCAUUAAAAAGGAGAGGAUUGAUACCUCUAUAAAUGGGGUAUGAACCCAUUAGCUUGUUUAGCUUACCUUUU